AUUUAUACUUUGUUUUGUUCUUUGGACAAUUUAUACUUUUUUUAUUAAAUGGACAAAUUUAUUUUUCUAAUAAGAUAAAAUGGAUAAUUUAGUACUUUGUUACUAUAUUUAUUAAUAGAAAUAUUUCAUUUAAGUUAAUCUUUUUGAAGUUUUUAAAAUGAAAUGCUUCAGAUUUUUGUAUAUUAAAACCCAAGCUUCCACCUUCAAAGGCAACACCUCUCCUUAAAUAGUGCAUAAAAUGGGUCAAAAACCAGCUCCCAUGAGUCUGCAGGUUGCGCCCAACGCAGGAUUUCCUACGCCUCACGCAGCAGGUUCGUCCAGCAUCCCAGAAGCUGCGCCCAAAACACGGUGCCACAAAUGUCUUUCAGCCAACAGGCAUGCGCCUAGCGUAGGUCACAAGACCAAAAAUGCCUAAAUUUUUCGGGGAGCUUGCCAACUCUUGACUUCUUAGCAGUAUGAUCAUUUGGAUAUAGUUGAAUGUCUUAUUUACGCAAACAAAUUUCCUUGAAGGUGUCUUAUUUUGCUUGGAGACUUUUGCGUGACAAGUUGCCAACUAAAGUAAACUUGGCAAUCCAAGACAUCAUCACUCCAGAAGCUCGGUCUUGUGUAUUCGGUUGCGGUGCAAUGGAAUCAGAUCAACAUUUAUUUAUCUCA